AAAACAUCUUUUUUUGAUUAUAAUAUUAAAUUGACUCUGCUCUAUGAUUAAUUUUAAAUGGCUGCAGUAUUUUGACUGUACAAAGGUAGCAUAAUAAUUUGUUUUUUAAAUGAGAACUAGAAUGAAGGAGGUGAUGAAAUAUUAACUUUAUUUAAUUAAUAAGUUUAAUUUUAUUUUUGAGUUAAAAAGCUUAAAUAAAUUUAUGGGACGAGAAGACCCUGUAGAAUUUAAUAUGAAAUUAUAUUAUUAUUUGAUUAAUAAUUAAUUAAUAUUUUUUUGGGAGGAAAAUUAAAAUUUUAGACUUUAGUUUAUUAUUUACAUUAAUAAAUGAAUUUUAUAGAUUUUAUUUGAUUAAAUUUAAGUUUAAAUUACCUCAGGGAUAACAGCGUAAUAUUUUUUGAAAGUUCUUAUUGAAAAAGAUGUUU
rnacentral:rRNA from 1 species